rnacentral:rRNA from 1 species
CCUACGGGAGGCAGCAGUGAGGAAUAUUGGUCAAUGGGCGCGAGCCUGAACCAGCCAAGUAGCGUGAAGGAUGAAUGCCCUACGGGUUGUAAGCUUCUUUUAUAAAGGAAUAAAGUGAGGCACGUGUGCCUUUUUGUAUGUACUUUAUGAAUAAGGAUCGGCUAACUACGUGCCAGCAGCCGAGGUAAUACGGAGGAUACGAGCGUUAUCCGGAUUUACUGGGCUUAAAGGGAGCGUAGAUGGGUUGUUAAGUCAGUUGUGAAAGUUUGCGGCUCAACCGUAAAAUUGCACUUGAUACUGGCAGCCUAGAGUACAGUUGAGGUAGGCAGAAUUCGUGGUGUAGCGGUGAAAUGCGUAGAGAUCACGAAGAACACCGGUGGCGAAGGCAGCCUACUAAACAGACACUGACAUUGAUGCGCGAAAGCGUGGGGAGCAAACAGGAUUAGAUACCCUAGUAGUC